UUCCAAGACUAGGUCAUAAAAGCCAUUGCAGCUUCCUCCCUGUCUGCCCUCAUGAAUUGUGGGCUGCUUACUGUGGGGGAAACUAGCUACUAUUCCAUAAGAACACUCAAAGAGCCCUAUGGAGAGGACCUAUCUCAUGGCAAGGAAGUGUGGAUUCCUGCCAACUGCCACUGAAGAGCUAAGGCCUUCCAGCAAAUAACCACUGAGUGAGCCAAAUUGGGAGUGAAUCUUCCAGCACCAAUGAAUCCUCAAAAUGACUACAGCCCCAGCUGACAUCUUGAAUGCCACCUCAUAAGAGAUCCUGACCUGGAGCCAUCCUGCCAAGCUGCUCCCAGAUUCCUGACUCUCAGAAACCAUAUUAUAGGCUAAUCGUCACCUCUACAUGUUGAAGGAAUAGAUUGUUUGGCAUGGCACUGAUCACUAUGUGUAUUAACGGGAAAGUUUAUCCCCAGGAGAAAAGAAAAAACCAGCUGUGUGAAUGGAACUUGGAGAAAGGGCACAACCAUCAGACGAAGUGGGAGGAAGAAACAUUAACUUCAACAGCUGUUUCUUGACCCCGGCUGUCAGUCUUCCCAAGAAUAAAUUUUGGAGAGUCCUAUUUGAAACAAAGAGGGAGUUUUUAAGGAGAGAAAAGUUGGUUGGUUCCAGGGAGGCCGCCCAAAGAAGCAGGGAACAAGAUGUUUGCAGUUACCACGCAGCCUGCAAGCCUCUGCCGGGUGCAGGGAUGGAGCAAAGUAACUUGAAAGCUCCCCUCUCGGCGCCCUGUGCCUACAGCUUCCCCCCCUAACGUGCGCCCAGAUCCAGCGCCGGUGGUAAGAGCCGUAGCUCGACUACAGUAAUUCCCCAGCUCGGGCGGCUUGAAACUGCUCGGGCUGAAUAGCAUUUGCUGUUCCGUCCUGCGGCCGCCUCCCGCCGCCGCUGCCGCGCUCCCUGCAAAGCAGCUCUCAUUAUCCCGGAAGUUGUGCUGACACAGUCUCGCUGCCACCAGAAGUUUGUCAACAUCAAACUUCUCCUGUGUGGGGUACGUUCACCUUCCACGAGUAUUUAAUCGAGCCAACAAGCAAACAAACAAACCCAAAUAAACCUGC